rnacentral:sRNA from 1 species
ACCCCUUGUUCUCUCGGCAGCUUGCAGGCCACGGAGUGUGACCGUCCAGCCCCUUCUGCAGAGCAGCCAAAACCAGAGCUUCAACGCCUCCUCUGGUCUGCUGUCCCCGAGCCCCGACCACCAGGACCUGGGCAGGAGUGGCAGGGUGGACCGCAGCCCCUUCUGCCUCACAAACUACCCAGUCAUGCGGGAGGACACGGACGUGGUGUCGGUGCACUUCCAGCCCCUGGACAGGGUCUCGGUGAGGGUGUGUUCGGACACACCCUCCGUGAUGCGGCUGCGCCUGAACACCGGCAUGGACAGUGGGGGUUCCCUCACCAUCUCCCUGCGGGCCAACAAGACAGAGAUGCGGAACGAGACCGUCAUAGUGGCCUGCGUGAAUGCUGCCUCGCCCUUCCUUGGCUUCAACAUUUCGCUCAACUGCACCACAGCCUUCUUCCAGGGCUACCCCUUGUCUCUGAGCGCCUGGUCUCGCAGGGCCAACCUCAUCAUCCCCUACCCAGAGACAGACAACUGGUACCUCUCCCUGCAGCUCAUGUGCCCUGAGAAUGCUGAGGACUGUGAGCAGGCUGUGGUCCACGUGGAGACCACCUUGUACCUGGUGCCCUGUUUGAACGAUUGUGGACCCUAUGGCCAGUG